GUAUGAAGCUCAGAUAACUGGAUGAGAGAGACAGACCAGUAGGAGUGACUCCACUUGGCUACUGAGAGCAUCUCCUCUAGACCAGUGGCACUGAGUUCCCCAGCUGAACUUCAGUCAUGAAGAUCCUUUACCUGUUCUUUGCUGUUGUCUUUCUGGUGCUUCAGGGCCCAGCAGCAGUCUCCCAGGCUCAGAGGAUCAGGAGCUGUACUUUCCCGGGGGGUGUCUGUUACCGUAGAAGAUGCCCUACUGGUACUUGGAUGGGGGAGAAUUGUCUUGGAGGGGGUGUGUGUUGUUACAGACGAUACCCUGACUGAUUAUCCAGCCACUUGCUUCUAAAAUCAUCUGACUCUGCUUCAAUGGAAUCCUAAAGUGCUGUUCAUUUGGACUGGGAAGAACUUUGUGAGCUAGAGAAAUUCAAGAAGGCAGCCCUUGUAUCCCUCAUAGAGGAUUUCUCCCUUUCCUUUUAAUAAAAGCA